CAGUCGCCGCGGUAAUACGAAGGGGGCUAGCGUUGCUCGGAAUCACUGGGCGUAAAGCGUGCGUAGGCGGUGAGUUAAGUCUGCUGUGAAAUCCCCGGGCUCAACCUGGGAAUGGCAGUGGAUACUGGCUCGCUAGAGUGUGUCAGAGGAUGGUGGAAUUCCCGGUGUAGCGGUGAAAUGCGUAGAGAUCGGGAGGAACAUCAGUGGCGAAGGCGGCCAUCUGGGACAACACUGACGCUGAGGCACGAAAGCGUGGGGAGCAAACAGGAUUAGAUAUCCGCGUAGUCCCUGUCUCUUAUAC
rnacentral:rRNA from 1 species